rnacentral:lncRNA from 1 species
GUUGUCGUGCGGUGACGUCAAGCCCUGAUCAGACUCUAUGCAAAGCGCCCCACGAUGCGCGUGCUGCUGAGAGCACAAGGAGGAGAGAGGAGGACGGACACUUAGCAGCCUGGCUAAUGUAGCCUGUGGGGUCGCAAAAUAUUUGUAAAUACAUUUAUUUGGAAAUGAACAACACUUCAGAUCUGGAAAUCGGACUGGGUUGCCUAAGGCGUUCAACGUGAGGCCAUUUCUCGUCUGCUCCCACACGAAAAAGCCCAGUGAGCGGCAGAGCAUUGAAUACCACCUCUUUUAUACUGACUCAUCUGUUCCUCUCUCUCUUCACACUCUUGAGGAUGAAAGAAAAAUAUUGAGGAUGUGAGCAGUCCCUUCACCUUUAAAAGUUAUCUUCAAAAUGGAGCUUGUUCUUUGUCCUAAGUUUCAGUCUGAGCGCGAGAGGUCCCGCCGCACACAACUGCCGGCAUUUACACUCCGUCCUCUCUCACUGCACACCUUCCUGUGGAGAUUGGCUCACUUCGAUUCCUCUAAGAUGAAUGUCUCUUUGAACCUCUUGUGGCAUUUGAGUGAACUGCAGUUACAGGUUCCAGCUCUGGUGAUUCAUCGAAUGGGAACUUCAGAGGAAUUUGCUGCAUCACAGACCAAAUCUGUUCAGGUUUUCAUGUGUACACAACAUUCCUUUGAUGUGACCAACAAGAGUAUAAAAAUGAUGUCUCUUGAGAGAGAUCCAGAGAGACUAUUGGUCUUUCUGUUUAUCCAUCAUCUUAGGCUCACUUUCACAGUCUCUCCACCACUGUUGUUUCAUACAAUGAUUUGUAUGAAUAAUUUAUGCCACAUUGCUUCGCUGUCAUUAAAGGUGACCUUGGUUAAUUAUUGAUCAGGUCAGAUGAUUUCAGUCCUGACCUCUAGGUUCUCGUCUACCGCUCGGCUCAGAUUUCAUAUCUACGCUCUUCCUCUUUGUAUUCCUGGAGACCCUCAUAUGAUGAAUUACUGUCUAUUGUUAUUGCUGGGGGAGUGUUGGUGCAUUUACAGAGACGUGAAAUGUAAAAUUACAAAUGUAACCCCAACGCCAAGACUAUUACUUUGUUUUAAUGAAAUAUGUAAGAGGUAAUGUAUAAGUCAGUUGGUCAUCACUGAAUAAACCCUGACAGGGUGAUCAGGUUGAGCCCCUGAACGGGUUUAUUUGUUUUUUGUUACACUGAUCGUCUGACUAUUACCCUGCUACUUGUCAAAUAGAUACAUAAAUGGACUUGAAAUGUUGUUUUUUGUUAUGUUUUUAUGUGAGAAGAGAGCAUGUGAUUGACGGAGUAUAACAAGGCAAUGUAUAAUAAUAAUACAGUUUAGCAGCUAUUAUAAAAAAAAAAAUGCUGUUUUCAACAUUAAUAAAUUAUUUCUGAAGGAUCAUGUGACGCUUAAUAUUGGAGUUAUGCCUGCAGAAAAUUCAACACUGCCAUCACAAAGGAAUAAAUUUCAUUUUACAAUAUAUUAAAAAUGAACAAUUAUUUUAAGUUGUAAUAUUUCACAAUACAGUUUUGAGGAUUUGUUAUAAUGUGAGAAGAAAGAGACCACGGAUUGAUUGAAAAGACAUUAGAAUCAAGCAGAAAAUCGGAUUAGUUGAUGGGUACAUCAGAAUGGGCUCUGUAUCUGACAUGCAGACUGAUGACCUGCUGAAUGUUGGUCCACUGAAUGAAAAGGAUGGGAGGAACGUCAUCUUGACCUUUCGAAGGCACUCCCUCAUCGCUAUGGCCCUUUGGCCUGAAUGCUUUAAUAAGCCCUCAUGAAAUUAACCCUUAAUGUGUGCCAGUGUGCUGACUCAACAGCCGUCGCGCGGGUCAAUCUGAGUUUGAUUAUUCUGGCCCUGGCUGCCCCAAGCUGAGGUUGAGUCGGGUCAGGAAUGAAGCACCUGUCACUUGUAUAUAAUUUGCAAGAGAAUGAUAAAUGUGGCUGUAAUGGCUAAACCACUACAGAAUUAGCUCCAAUGAUGAGCACGUAAUGACCUCAUGAUUUACGAUAGGUGUUUGCCUAGUGUUGUGUUACAUUAGCGUGCUUGUUUGGGCUUCAGCAGCCUGUAAAGUUCACAUGGUCACACCGUAGCACCUCAACCCCUGUUAAAGCACUUGUCACUGAAGUUAUAGCAGCAGAGGGAUGCUUUUACAUCUCUCUCUGUUCACAGACCUGUAGUGGAGUGGAGGCAGUGAGAAUGUCCUGACAGUCUGAGGCACACUGACUCUCUGGGGUGACCAGACGGCUCCUGCUGACUCAGCACCAAUCACCAAUGUCCUCCUCCCCUCGCUCAGUGAUGUCUGAC